rnacentral:rRNA from 1 species
UACGUAGGGUGCGAGCGUUGUCCGGAAUUAUUGGGCGUAAAGAGCUUGUAGGCGGUUUGUCGCGUCUGCUGUGAAAAUCCGGGGCUCAACCCCGGACUUGCAGUGGGUACGGGCAGACUAGAGUUCGGUAGGGGAGACUGGAAUUCCUGGUGUAGCGGUGAAAUGCGCAGAUAUCAGGAGGAACACCGGUGGCGAAGGCGGGUCUCUGGGCAGUAACUGACGCUGAGGAGCGAAAGCGUGGGGAGCGAACAGG